GUUGCACCCCUUUUUAUUUUUUAAUUUUUUUUUAGCCUAAAACGAGUCUAAACUUGAAAACCUCCUAACCUUUGAACCGUGAGGAACUACGUCGCCAUAGCACCAUUUCGGAAGCCCGAAAACCAUAAUGGGCGGGAAUAGGGGGCGCAAUUUUUCGGGCUCAAAUUCAGCCGUUUUGACCCUCAAACGGGCCUGCGGAAAGUUAUGGCACGUAAAAAAGAUCGAAAAGCGGAUUCUCAGGUGUUUUUGAUGCUUCUUAACGCCGUUAACCUCGAUGCACGUUUUUCGCUCGAAACAAAACGGCAAAAAAUCAUGUGGGGCCCACGGCCUUACACUUGGAUUGGCCGGGGAAAGGAUAUAUAGAAACGAGAGUGAUGUACGACGGGUGCGAUCAUACCAGCACUAAUGCACCGGAUCCCAUCAGAACUCCGCAGUGAAGCGUGCCUUGGGCGAGAGUAGUACUAGGAUGGGUGACCUCCCGGGAAGUCCUCGUGUUGCAACCACCUUUUAUUAAUAAUUUUUUUUAGCCUAAAACGAGUCUAAACUUGAAAAACCUCAUAACUUUUGAACCGUGAGGAACUACGUCGCCCAUAGCACCAUUUCGGGAAGCCCCAGAAACCAUAAUGGGCGGUGAAUAGGGGGCGCAUUUUUUGGGCUCAAAUUCAACCGUUUUGACCCUCAAACGGGCUGCGGAAAGUUAUGGCACGUAAAAAAGAUCGAAAGCGGAUUCUCAAGGUGUUUUUGAUGCUUUCUUAACGCCGUUAACCUCGAUGGGUACUUGUUCGCUCGAAACAAAACGGCAAGAAAAUCAUGUGCGGCCCACGGUCUUACACUUGAUUUGCCGCGAAAAGGAUAUAUAGAAACGAGAGUGAUGUACUGACGGGUGCGAUCAUACCAGCACUAAUGCACCGGAUCUCGUCAGAACUCCGCAGUUAAGCGUGCUUGGGCGAGAGUAGUACUAGGCUGGGUGACCUCCCGGGAAGUCCUCGUGUUGCAACAGUUUUUAUUUUUAAUUUUUUUUUUAGCUAAACUUGAAAACCUCAUAACUUUUGAACCGUGAGGAACUACGUCGCCCAUAGCACCAUUUCGGAGAGCCCCAGAAACCAUAAUGGGCGGUGAAUAGGGGGCGCAAUUUUUCGGGCUCAAAUUCAGCCGUUUUGACCCUCAAACGGGCUGCGGAAAGUUAUGGCACGUAAAAAAGAUCGAAAGCGGAUUCUCAAGGUGUUUUUGAUGCUUUCUUAACGCCGUUAACCUCGAUGCACUUUUUCGCUCGAAACAAAACGGCAAGAAAAUCAUGCGCGCCCCACGGCCUUACACUUGGAUUGGCCGCGAAAAGGAUAUAUAGAAACGAGAGUGAUGUACUGUCGGGUGCGAUCAUACCAGCACUAAUGCACCGGAUCCCAUCAGAACUCCGCAGUUAAGCGUGCUUGGGCGAGAGUAGUAGUACUAGGAUGGGUGACCUCCCGGGAAGUCCUCGUGUUGCACCCCUUUUUAUUUUUAAUUUUUUUUUAGCCUAAAACGAGUCUAAACUUGAAAACCUCAUAACUUUUGAACCGUGAGGAACUACGUCGCCCAUAGCACCAUUUCGGAAAGCCCCAGAAACCAUAAUGGGCGGUGAAUAGGGGGCGCAAUUUUUCGGGCUCAAAUUCAGCCGUUUUGACCCUCAAACGGGCUGCGGAAAGUUAUGGCACGUAAAAAAGAUCGAAAGCGGAUUCUCAAGGUGUUUUUGAUGCUUUCUUAACGCCGUUAACCUCGAUGCACUUUUUCGCUCGAAACAAAACGGCAAGAAAAUCAUGCGCGCCCCACGGCCUUACACUUGGAUUGGCCGCGAAAAGGAUAUAUAGAAACGAGAGUGAUGUACUGUCGGGUGCGAUCAUACCAGCACUAAUGCACCGGAUCCCAUCAGAACUCCGCAGUUAAGCGUGCUUGGGCGAGAGUAGUACUAGGAUGGGUGACCUCCCGGGAAGUCCUCGUGUUGCACCCCUUUUAUUUUACCAGCACUUAAUUUUUUUUAGCCUAAAACGAGUCUAAACUUGAAAACCCCAUAACUUUUGAACCGUGAGGAACUACGUCGCCCAUAGCACCAUUUCGGAAAGCCCCAGAAACCAUAAUGGCGGUGAAUAGGGGGCGCAAUUUUUCGGGCUCAAAUUCAGCCGUUUUGACCCUCAAACGGGCUGCGGAAAGUUAUGGCACGUAAAAAAGAUCGAAAGCGGAUUCUCAAGGUGUUUUUGAUGCUUUCUUAACGCCGUUAACCUCGAUGCACUUUUUCGCUCGAAACAAAACGGCAAAAAAAUCAUGUGGGCCCCACGGCCUUACACUUGGAUUGGCCGCGAAAAGGAUAUAUAGAAACGAGAGUGAUGUACUGACGGGUGCGAUCAUACCAGCACUAAUGCACCGGAUCCCAUCAGAACUCCGCAGUGAAGCGUGCUUGGGCGAGAGUAGUACUAGGAUGGGUGACCUCCCGGGAAGUCCUCGUGUUGCACCCCUUUUUAUUUUAUAAUUUUUUUUUAGCCUAAAACGAGUCUAAACUUGAAAACCUCAUAACUUUUGAACCGUGAGGAACUACGUCGCCCAUAGCACCAUUUCGGAAAGCCCCAGAAACCAUAAUGGGCGGUGAAUAGGGGGCGCAAUUUUUCGGGCUCAAAUUCAGCCGUUUUGACCCUCAAACGGGCUGCGGAAAGUUAUGGCACGUAAAAAAGAUCGAAAGCGGAUUCUCAAGGUGUUUUUGAUGCUUUCUUAACGCCGUUAACCUCGAUGCACUUUUUCGCUCGAAACAAAACGGCAAGAAAAUCAUGUGGGCCCCACGGCCUUACACUUGGAUUGGCCGCGAAAAGGAUAUAUAGAAACGAGAGUGAUGUACUGACGGGUGCGAUCAUACCAGCACUAAUGCACCGGAUCCCAUCAGAACUCCGCAGCUAAGCGUGCUUGGGCGAGAGUAGUACUAGGAUGGGUGACCUCCCGGGAAGUCCUCGUGUUGCACCCCUUUUAUUUUUUAAUUUUUUUUAGCCUAAAACGAGUCUAAACUUGAAAACCCCAUAACUUUUGAACCGUGAGAAACUACGUCGCCCAUAGCACCAUUUCGGAAAGCCCCAGAAACCAUAAUGGGCGGUGAAUAGGGGGCGCAAUUUUUCGGGCUCAAAUUCAGCCGUUUUGACCCUCAAACGGGCUGCGGAAAGUUAUGGCACGUAAAAAAGAUCGAAAGCGGAUUCUCAAGGUGUUUUGAUGCUUUCUUAACGCCGUUAACCUCGAUGCACUUUUUCGCUCGAAACAAAACGGCAAGAAAAUCAUGCGCGGCCCCACGGCCUUACACUUGGAUUGGCCGCGAAAAGGAUAUAUAGAAACGAGAGUGAUGUACUGACGGGUGCGAUCAUACCAGCACUAAUGCACCGGAUCCCAUCAGAACUCCGCAGUUAAGCGUGCUUGGGCGAGAGUAGUACUAGGAUGGGUGACCUCCCGGGAAGUCCUCGUGUUGCACCCCUUUUUAUUUUUAAUUUUUUUUUAGCCUAAAACGAGUCUAAACUUGAAAACCUCAUAACUUUUGAACCGUGAGGAACUACGUCGCCCAUAGCACCAUUUCGGAAAGCCCCAGAAACCAUAAUGGGCGGUGAAUAGGGGGCGCAAUUUUUCGGGCUCAAAUUCAGCCGUUUUGACCCUCAAACGGGCUGCGGAAAGUUAUGGCACGUAAAAAAGAUCGAAAGCGGAUUCUCAAGGUGUUUUUGAUGCUUUCUUAACGCCGUUAACCUCGAUGCACUUUUUCGCUCGAAACAAAACGGCAAGAAAAUCAUGCGCGCCCCACGGCCUUACACUUGGAUUGGCCGCGAAAAGGAUAUAUAGAAACGAGAGUGAUGUACUGACGGGUGCGAUCAUACCAGCACUAAUGCACCGGAUCCCAUCAGAACUCCGCAGUUAAGCGUGCUUGGGCGAGAGUAGUACUAGGAUGGGUGACCUCCCGGGAAGUCCUCGUGUUGCACCCCUUUUAUUUUUAAUUUUUUUUUAGCCUAAAACGAGUCUAAACUUGAAAACCUCAUAACUUUUGAACCGUGAGGAACUACGUCGCCCAUAGCACCAUUUCGGAAAGCCCCAGAAACCAUAAUGGGCGGUGAAUAGGGGGCGCAAUUUUUCGGGCUCAAAUUCAGCCGUUUUGACCCUCAAACGGGCUGCGGAAAGUUAUGGCACGUAAAAAAGAUCGAAAGCGGAUUCUCAAGGUGUUUUUGAUGCUUUCUUAACGCCGUUAACCUCGAUGCACUUUUUCGCUCGAAACAAAACGGCAAGAAAAUCAUGUGCGGCCCACGGCCUUACACUUGGAUUGGCCGCGAAAAGGAUAUAUAGAAACGAGAGUGAUGUACUGACGGGUGCGAUCAUACCAGCACUAAUGCACCGGAUCCCAUCAGAACUCCGCAGUGAAGCGUGCUUGGGCGAGAGUAGUACUAGGAUGGGUGACCUCCCGGGAAGUCCUCGUGUUGCACCCCUUUUUAUUUUUAUUUUUUUUUUAGCCUAAAACGAGUCUAAACUUGAAAACCUCAUAACUUUUGAACCGUGAGGAACUACGUCGCCCAUAGCACCAUUUCGGAAAGCCCCAGAAACCAUAAUGGGCGGUGAAUAGGGGGCGCAAUUUUUCGGGCUCAAAUUCAGCCGUUUUGACCCUCAAACGGGCUGCGGAAAGUUAUGGCACGUAAAAAAGAUCGAAAGCGGAUUCUCAAGGUGUUUUUGAUGCUUUCUUAACGCCGUUAACCUCGAUGCACUUUUUCGCUCGAAACAAAACGGCAAGAAAAUCAUGUGGGCCCCACGGCCUUACACUUGGAUUGGCCGGGGAAAGGAUAUAUAGAAACGAGAGUGAUGUACUGACGGGUGCGAUCAUACCAGCACUAAUGCACCGGAUCCCAUCAGAACUCCGCAGUGAAGCGUGCUUGGGCGAGAGUAGUACUAGGAUGGGUGACCUCCCGGGAAGUCCUCGUGUUGCACCCCUUUUUAUUUUAUAAUUUUUUUUUAGCCUAAAACGAGUCUAAACUUGAAAACCUCAUAACUUUUGAACCGUGAGGAACUACGUCGCCCAUAGCACCAUUGAGAAAGCCCCAGAAACCAUAAUGGGCGGUGAAUAGGGGGCGCAAUUUUUCGGGCUCAAAUUCAGCCGUUUUGACCCUCAAACGGGCUGCGGAAAGUUAUGGCACGUAAAAAAGAUCGAAAGCGGAUUCUCAAGGUGUUUUUGAUGCUUUCUUAACGCCGUUAACCUCGAUGCACUUUUUCGCUCGAAACAAAACGGCAAGAAAAUCAUGCGCGCCCCACGGCCUUACACUUGGAUUGGCCGCGAAAAGGAUAUAUAGAAACGAGAGUGAUGUACUGACGGGUGCGAUCAUACCAGCACUAAUGCACCGGAUCCCAUCAGAACUCCGCAGUUAAGCGUGCUUGGGCGAGAGUAGUAGUACUAGGAUGGGUGACCUCCCGGGAAGUCCUCGUGUUGCACCCCUUUUUAUUUUUUAAUUUUUUUUUAGCCUAAAACGAGUCUAAACUUGAAAACCUCAUAACUUUUGAACCGUGAGGAACUACGUCGCCCAUAGCACCAUUUCGGAAAGCCCCAGAAACCAUAAUGGGCGGUGAAUAGGGGGCGCAAUUUUUCGGGCUCAAAUUCAGCCGUUUUGACCCUCAAACGGGCUGCGGAAAGUUAUGGCACGUAAAAAAGAUCGAAAGCGGAUUCUCAAGGUGUUUUUGAUGCUUUCUUAACGCCGUUAACCUCGAUGCACUUUUUCGCUCGAAACAAAACGGCAAGAAAAUCAUGCGCGCCCACGGCCUUACACUUGGAUUGGCCGCGAAAAGGAUAUAUAGAAACGAGAGUGAUGUACUGACGGGUGCGAUCAUACCAGCACUAAUGCACCGGAUCCCAUCAGAACUCCGCAGCUAAGCGUGCUUGGGCGAGAGUAGUACUAGGAUGGGUGACCUCCCGGGAAGUCCUCGUGUUGCACCCCUUUUAUUUUUUAAUUUUUUUUUAGCCUAAAACGAGUCUAAACUUGAAAACCCCAUAACUUUUGAACCGUGAGGAACUACGUCGCCCAUAGCACCAUUUCGGAAAGCCCCAGAAACCAUAAUGGGCGGUGAAUAGGGGGCGCAAUUUUUCGGGCUCAAAUUCAGCCGUUUUGACCCUCAAACGGGCUGCGGAAAGUUAUGGCACGUAAAAAAGAUCGAAAGCGGAUUCUCAAGGUGUUUUUGAUGCUUUCUUAACGCCGUUAACCUCGAUGCACUUUUUCGCUCGAAACAAAACGGCAAGAAAAUCAUGCGCGCCCCACGGCCUUACACUUGGAUUGGCCGCGAAAAGGAUAUAUAGAAACGAGAGUGAUGUACUGACGGGUGCGAUCAUACCAGCACUAAUGCACCGGAUCCCAUCAGAACUCCGCAGUUAAGCGUGCUUGGGCGAGAGUAGUACUAGGAUGGGUGACCUCCCGGGAAGUCCUCGUGUUGCACCCCUUUUUAUUUUUUAAUUUUUUUUUAGCCUAAAACGAGUCUAAACUUGAAAACCUCAUAACUUUUGAACCGUGAGGAACUACGUCGCCCAUAGCACCAUUUCGGAGAGCCCCAGAAACCAUAAUGGGCGGUGAAUAGGGGGGGCGCAAUUUUUCGGGCUCAAAUUCAGCCGUUUUGACCCUCAAACGGGCUGCGGAAAGUUAUGGCACGUAAAAAAGAUCGAAAGCGGAUUCUCAAGGUGUUUUUGAUGCUUUCUUAACGCCGUUAACCUCGAUGCACUUUUUCGCUCGAAACAAAACGGCAAGAAAAUCAUGCGCGCCCCACGGCCUUACACUUGGAUUGGCCGCGAAAAGGAUAUAUAGAAACGAGAGUGAUGUACUGACGGGUGCGAUCAUACCAGCACUAAUGCACCGGAUCCCAUCAGAACUCCGCAGUUAAGCGUGCUUGGGCGAGAGUAGUACUAGGAUGGGUGACCUCCCGGGAAGUCCUCGUGUUGCACCCCUUUUUAUUUUUAAUUUUUUUUUAGCCUAAAACGAGUCUAAACUUGAAAACCUCAUAACUUUUGAACCGUGAGGAACUACGUCGCCCAUAGCACCAUUUCGGAGAGCCCCAGAAACCAUAAUGGGCGGUGAAUAGGGGGCGCAAUUUUUCGGGCUCAAAUUCAGCCGUUUUGACCCUCAAACGGGCUGCGGAAAGUUAUGGCACGUAAAAAAGAUCGAAAGCGGAUUCUCAAGGUGUUUUUGAUGCUUUCUUAACGCCGUUAACCUCGAUGCACUUUUUCGCUCGAAACAAAACGGCAAGAAAAUCAUGCGCGCCCCACGGCCUUACACUUGGAUUGGCCGCGAAAAGGAUAUAUAGAAACGAGAGUGAUGUACUGACGGGUGCGAUCAUACCAGCACUAAUGCACCGGAUCCCAUCAGAACUCCGCAGUUAAGCGUGCUUGGGCGAGAGUAGUACUAGGAUGGGUGACCUCCCGGGAAGUCCUCGUGUUGCACCCCUUUUUAUUUUUUAAUUUUUUUUAGCCUAAAACGAGUCUAAACUUGAAAACCUCAUAACUUUUGAACCGUGAGGAACUACGUCGCCCAUAGCACCAUUUCGGAGAGCCCCAGAAACCAUAAUGGGCGGUGAAUAGGGGGCGCAAUUUUUCGGGCUCAAAUUCAGCCGUUUUGACCCUCAAACGGGCUGCGGAAAGUUAUGGCACGUAAAAAAGAUCGAAAGCGGAUUCUCAAGGUGUUUUUGAUGCUUUCUUAACGCCGUUAACCUCGAUGCACUUUUUCGCUCGAAACAAAACGGCAAGAAAAUCAUGCGCGCCCCACGGCCUUACACUUGGAUUGGCCGCGAAAAGGAUAUAUAGAAACGAGAGUGAUGUACUGACGGGUGCGAUCAUACCAGCACUAAUGCACCGGAUCCCAUCAGAACUCCGCAGUUAAGCGUGCUUGGGCGAGAGUAGUACUAGGAUGGGUGACCUCCGGGAAGUCCUCGUGUUGCACCCCUUUUUAUUUUUUAAUUUUUUUUAGCCUAAAACGAGUCUAAACUUGAAAACCUCAUAACUUUUGAACCGUGAGGAACUACGUCGCCCAUAGCACCAUUUCGGAGAGCCCCAGAAACCAUAAUGGGCGGUGAAUAGGGGGCGCAAUUUUUCGGGCUCAAAUUCAGCCGUUUUGACCCUCAAACGGGCUGCGGAAAGUUAUGGCACGUAAAAAAGAUCGAAAGCGGAUUCUCAAGGUGUUUUUGAUGCUUUCUUAACGCCGUUAACCUCGAUGCACUUUUUCGCUCGAAACAAAACGGCAAGAAAAUCAUGCGCGCCCCACGGCCUUACACUUGGAUUGGCCGCGAAAAGGAUAUAUAGAAACGAGAGUGAUGUACUGACGGGUGCGAUCAUACCAGCACUAAUGCACCGGAUCCCAUCAGAACUCCGCAGUUAAGCGUGCUUGGGCGAGAGUAGUACUAGGAUGGGUGACCUCCCGGGAAGUCCUCGUGUUGCACCCCUUUUUAUUUUUUAAUUUUUUUUUGCCUAAAACGAGUCUAAACUUGAAAACCUCAUAACUUUUGAACCGUGAGGAACUACGUCGCCCAUAGCACCAUUUCGGAGAGCCCCAGAAACCAUAAUGGGCGGUGAAUAGGGGGCGCAAUUUUUCGGGCUCAAAUUCAGCCGUUUUGACCCUCAAACGGGCUGCGGAAAGUUAUGGCACGUAAAAAAGAUCGAAAGCGGAUUCUCAAGGUGUUUUUGAUGCUUUCUUAACGCCGUUAACCUCGAUGCACUUUUUCGCUCGAAACAAAACGGCAAGAAAAUCAUGCGCGCCCCACGGCCUUACACUUGGAUUGGCCGCGAAAAGGAUAUAUAGAAACGAGAGUGAUGUACUGACGGGUGCGAUCAUACCAGCACUAAUGCACCGGAUCCCAUCAGAACUCCGCAGUUAAGCGUGCUUGGGCGAGAGUAGUACUAGGAUGGGUGACCUCCCGGGAAGUCCUCGUGUUGCACCCCUUUUUAUUUUUUAAUUUUUUUUUAGCCUAAAACGAGUCUAAACUUGAAAACCUCAUAACUUUUGAACCGUGAGGAACUACGUCGCCCAUAGCACCAUUUCGGAAAGCCCCAGAAACCAUAAUGGGCGGUGAAUAGGGGGCGCAAUUUUUCGGGCUCAAAUUCAGCCCGUUUUGACCCUCAAACGGGCUGCGGAAAGUUAUGGCACGUAAAAAAGAUCGAAAGCGGAUUCUCAAGGUGUUUUUGAUGCUUUCUUAACGCCGUUAACCUCGAUGCACUUUUUCGCUCGAAACAAAACGGCAAGAAAAUCAUGCGCGCCCCACGGCCUUACACUUGGAUUGGCCGCGAAAAGGAUAUAUAGAAACGAGAGUGAUGUACUGACGGGUGCGAUCAUACCAGCACUAAUGCACCGGAUCCCAUCAGAACUCCGCAGUUAAGCGUGCUUGGGCGAGAGUAGUACUAGGAUGGGUGACCUCCCGGGAAGUCCUCGUGUUGCACCCCUUUUUAUUUUUUAAUUUUUUUUAGCCUAAAACGAGUCUAAACUUGAAAACCUCAUAACUUUUGAACCGUGAGGAACUACGUCGCCCAUAGCACCAUUUCGGAGCCCCAGAAACCAUAAUGGGCGGGUGAAUAGGGGGCGCAAUUUUUCGGGCUCAAAUUCAGCCGUUUUGACCCUCAAACGGGCUGCGGAAAGUUAUGGCACGUAAAAAAGAUCGAAAGCGGAUUCUCAAGGUGUUUUUGAUGCUUUCUUAACGCCGUUAACCUCGAUGCACUUUUUCGCUCGAAACAAAACGGCAAGAAAAUCAUGCGCGCCCCACGGCCUUACACUUGGAUUGGCCGCGAAAAGGAUAUAUAGAAACGAGAGUGAUGUACUGACGGGUGCGAUCAUACCAGCACUAAUGCACCGGAUCCCAUCAGAACUCCGCAGUUAAGCGUGCUUGGGCGAGAGUAGUACUAGGAUGGGUGACCUCCCGGGAAGUCCUCGUGUUGCACCCCUUUUUAUUUUUUAAUUUUUUUUUAGCCUAAAACGAGUCUAAACUUGAAAACCUCAUAACUUUUGAACCGUGAGGAACUACGUCGCCCAUAGCACCAUUUCGGAGAGCCCCAGAAACCAUAAUGGGCGGUGAAUAGGGGGCGCAAUUUUUCGGGCUCAAAUUCAGCCGUUUUGACCCUCAAACGGGCUGCGGAAAGUUAUGGCACGUAAAAAAGAUCGAAAGCGGAUUCUCAAGGUGUUUUUGAUGCUUUCUUAACGCCGUUAACCUCGAUGCACUUUUUCGCUCGAAACAAAACGGCAAGAAAAUCAUGCGCGCCCCACGGCCUUACACUUGGAUUGGCCGCGAAAAGGAUAUAUAGAAACGAGAGUGAUGUACUGACGGGUGCGAUCAUACCAGCACUAAUGCACCGGAUCCCAUCAGAACUCCGCAGUUAAGCGUGCUUGGGCGAGAGUAGUACUAGGAUGGGUGACCUCCCGGGAAGUCCUCGUGUUGCACCCCUUUUUAUUUUUUAAUUUUUUUUUAGCCUAAAACGAGUCUAAACUUGAAAACCUCAUAACUUUUGAACCGUGAGGAACUACGUCGCCCAUAGCACCAUUUCGGAGAGCCCCAGAAACCAUAAUGGGCGGUGAAUAGGGGGCGCAAUUUUUCGGGCUCAAAUUCAGCCGUUUUGACCCUCAAACGGGCUGCGGAAAGUUAUGGCACGUAAAAAAGAUCGAAAGCGGAUUCUCAAGGUGUUUUUGAUGCUUUCUUAACGCCGUUAACCUCGAUGCACUUUUUCGCUCGAAACAAAACGGCAAGAAAAUCAUGCGCGCCCCACGGCCUUACACUUGGAUUGGCCGCGAAAAGGAUAUAUAGAAACGAGAGUGAUGUACUGACGGGUGCGAUCAUACCAGCACUAAUGCACCGGAUCCCAUCAGAACUCCGCAGUUAAGCGUGCUUGGGCGAGAGUAGUACUAGGAUGGGUGACCUCCCGGGAAGUCCUCGUGUUGCACCCCUUUUUUAUUUUUUAAUUUUUUUUAGCCUAAAACGAGUCUAAACUUGAAAACCUCAUAACUUUUGAACCGUGAGGAACUACGUCGCCCAUAGCACCAUUUCGGAAAGCCCCAGAAACCAUAAUGGGCGGUGAAUAGGGGGCGCAAUUUUUCGGGCUCAAAUUCAGCCGUUUUGACCCUCAAACGGGCUGCGGAAAGUUAUGGCACGUAAAAAAGAUCGAAAGCGGAUUCUCAAGGUGUUUUUGAUGCUUUCUUAACGCCGUUAACCUCGAUGCACUUUUUCGCUCGAAACAAAACGGCAAGAAAAUCAUGCGCGCCCCACGGCCUUACACUUGGAUUGGCCGCGAAAAGGAUAUAUAGAAACGAGAGUGAUGUACUGACGGGUGCGAUCAUACCAGCACUAAUGCACCGGAUCCCAUCAGAACUCCGCAGUUAAGCGUGCUUGGGCGAGAGUAGUACUAGGAUGGGUGACCUCCCGGGAAGUCCUCGUGUUGCACCCCUUUUUUUUUUUAAUUUUUUUUUAGCCUAAAACGAGUCUAAACUUGAAAACCUCAUAACUUUUGAACCGUGAGGAACUACGUCGCCCAUAGCACCAUUUCGGAGAGCCCCAGAAACCAUAAUGGGCGGUGAAUAGGGGGCGCAAUUUUUCGGGCUCAAAUUCAGCCGUUUUGACCCUCAAACGGGCUGCGGAAAGUUAUGGCACGUAAAAAAGAUCGAAAGCGGAUUCUCAAGGUGUUUUGAUGCUUUCUUAACGCCGUUAACCUCGAUGCACUUUUUCGCUCGAAACAAAACGGCAAGAAAAUCAUGUGGGCCCCACGGCCUUACACUUGGAUUGGCCGCGAAAAGGAUAUAUAGAAACGAGAGUGAUGUACUGACGGGUGCGAUCAUACCAGCACUAAUGCACCGGAUCCCAUCAGAACUCCGCAGUUAAGCGUGCUUGGGCGAGAGUAGUACUAGGAUGGGUGACCUCCCGGGAAGUCCUCGUGUUGCACCCCUUUUUAUUUUUUAAUUUUUUUUUAGCCUAAAACGAGUCUAAACUUGAAAACCUCAUAACUUUUGAACCGUGAGGAACUACGUCGCCCAUAGCACCAUUUCGGAGAGCCCCAGAAACCAUAAUGGGGCGGUGAAUAGGGGGCGCAAUUUUUCGGGCUCAAAUUCAGCCGUUUUGACCCUCAAACGGGCUGCGGAAAGUUAUGGCACGUAAAAAAGAUCGAAAGCGGAUUCUCAAGGUGUUUUUGAUGCUUUCUUAACGCCGUUAACCUCGAUGCACUUUUUCGCUCGAAACAAAACGGCAAGAAAAUCAUGCGCGCCCCACGGCCUUACACUUGGAUUGGCCGCGAAAAGGAUAUAUAGAAACGAGAGUGAUGUACUGACGGGUGCGAUCAUACCAGCACUAAUGCACCGGAUCCCAUCAGAACUCCGCAGUUAAGCGUGCUUGGGCGAGAGUAGUACUAGGAUGGGUGACCUCCCGGGAAGUCCUCGUGUUGCACCCCUUUUUAUUUUUUAUUUUUUUUUUAGCCUAAAACGAGUCUAAACUUGAAAACCUCAUAACUUUUGAACCGUGAGGAACUACGUCGCCCAUAGCACCAUUUCGGAAGAGCCCCAGAAACCAUAAUGGGCGGUGAAUAGGGGGCGCAAUUUUUCGGGCUCAAAUUCAGCCGUUUUGACCCUCAAACGGGCUGCGGAAAGUUAUGGCACGUAAAAAAGAUCGAAAGCGGAUUCUCAAGGUGUUUUUGAUGCUUUCUUAACGCCGUUAACCUCGAUGCACUUUUUCGCUCGAAACAAAACGGCAAGAAAAUCAUGCGCGCCCCACGGCCUUACACUUGGAUUGGCCGCGAAAAGGAUAUAUAGAAACGAGAGUGAUGUACUGACGGGUGCGAUCAUACCAGCACUAAUGCACCGGAUCCCAUCAGAACUCCGCAGCUAAGCGUGCUUGGGCGAGAGUAGUACUAGGAUGGGUGACCUCCCGGGAAGUCCUCGUGUUGCACCCCUUUUUAUUUUUUAAUUUUUUUUUUUGCCUAAAACGAGUCUAAACUUGAAAACCUCAUAACUUUUGAACCGUGAGGAACUACGUCGCCCAUAGCACCAUUUCGGAGAGCCCCAGAAACCAUAAUGGGCGGUGAAUAGGGGGCGCAAUUUUUCGGGCUCAAAUUCAGCCGUUUUGACCCUCAAACGGGCUGCGGAAAGUUAUGGCACGUAAAAAAGAUCGAAAGCGGAUUCUCAAGGUGUUUUUGAUGCUUUCUUAACGCCGUUAACCUCGAUGCACUUUUUCGCUCGAAACAAAACGGCAAGAAAAUCAUGCGCGCCCCACGGCCUUACACUUGGAUUGGCCGCGAAAAGGAUAUAUAGAAACGAGAGUGAUGUACUGACGGGUGCGAUCAUACCAGCACUAAUGCACCGGAUCCCAUCAGAACUCCGCAGUUAAGCGUGCUUGGGCGAGAGUAGUACUAGGAUGGGUGACCUCCCGGGAAGUCCUCGUGUUGCACCCCUUUUUAUUUUUUAAUUUUUUUUUAGCCUAAAACGAGUCUAAACUUGAAAACCUCAUAACUUUUGAACCGUGAGGAACUACGUCGCCCAUAGCACCAUUUCGGAGAGCCCCAGAAACCAUAAUGGGCGGUGAAUAGGGGGCGCAAUUUUUCGGGCUCAAAUUCAGCCGUUUUGACCCUCAAACGGGCUGCGGAAAGUUAUGGCACGUAAAAAAGAUCGAAAGCGGAUUCUCAAGGUGUUUUUGAUGCUUUCUUAACGCCGUUAACCUCGAUGCACUUUUUCGCUCGAAACAAAACGGCAAGAAAAUCAUGCGCGCCCCACGGCCUUACACUUGGAUUGGCCGCGAAAAGGAUAUAUAGAAACGAGAGUGAUGUACUGACGGGUGCGAUCAUACCAGCACUAAUGCACCGGAUCCCAUCAGAACUCCGCAGUUAAGCGUGCUUGGGCGAGAGUAGUACUAGGAUGGGUGACCUCCCGGGAAGUCCUCGUGUUGCACCCCUUUUUAUUUUUUAAUUUUUUUUAGCCUAAAACGAGUCUAAACUUGAAAACCUCAUAACUUUUGAACCGUGAGGAACUACGUCGCCCAUAGCACCAUUUCGGAGAGCCCCAGAAACCAUAAUGGGCGGUGAAUAGGGGGCGCAAUUUUUCGGGCUCAAAUUCAGCCGUUUUGACCCUCAAACGGGCUGCGGAAAGUUAUGGCACGUAAAAAAGAUCGAAAGCGGAUUCUCAAGGUGUUUUUGAUGCUUUCUUAACGCCGUUAACCUCGAUGCACUUUUUCGCUCGAAACAAAACGGCAAGAAAAUCAUGCGCGCCCACGGCCUUACACUUGGAUUGGCCGCGAAAAGGAUAUAUAGAAACGAGAGUGAUGUACUGACGGGUGCGAUCAUACCAGCACUAAUGCACCGGAUCCCAUCAGAACUCCGCAGUAAGCGUGCUUGGGCGAGAGUAGUACUAGGAUGGGUGACCUCCCGGGAAGUCCUCGUGUUGCACCCCUUUUUAUUUUUUAAUUUUUUUUUAGCCUAAAACGAGUCUAAACUUGAAAACCUCAUAACUUUUGAACCGUGAGGAACUACGUCGCCCAUAGCACCAUUUCGGAGAGCCCCAGAAACCAUAAUGGGCGGUGAAUAGGGGGCGCAAUUUUUCGGGCUCAAAUUCAGCCGUUUUGACCCUCAAACGGGCUGCGGAAAGUUAUGGCACGUAAAAAAGAUCGAAAGCGGAUUCUCAAGGUGUUUUUGAUGCUUUCUUAACGCCGUUAACCUCGAUGCACUUUUUCGCUCGAAACAAAACGGCAAGAAAAUCAUGCGCGCCCCACGGCCUUACACUUGGAUUGGCCGCGAAAAGGAUAUAUAGAAACGAGAGUGAUGUACUGACGGGUGCGAUCAUACCAGCACUAAUGCACCGGAUCCCAUCAGAACUCCGCAGUUAAGCGUGCUUGGGCGAGAGUAGUACUAGGAUGGGUGACCUCCCGGGAAGUCCUCGUGUUGCACCCCUUUUUAUUUUUAAUUUUUUUUUAGCCUAAAACGAGUCUAAACUUGAAAACCUCAUAACUUUUGAACCGUGAGGAACUACGUCGCCCAUAGCACCAUUUCGGAAAGCCCCAGAAACCAUAAUGGGCGGUGAAUAGGGGGCGCAAUUUUUCGGGCUCAAAUUCAGCCGUUUUGACCCUCAAACGGGCUGCGGAAAGUUAUGGCACGUAAAAAAGAUCGAAAGCGGAUUCUCAAGGUGUUUUUGAUGCUUUCUUAACGCCGUUAACCUCGAUGCACUUUUUCGCUCGAAACAAAACGGCAAGAAAAUCAUGCGCGCCCCACGGCCUUACACUUGGAUUGGCCGCGAAAAGGAUAUAUAGAAACGAGAGUGAUGUACUGACGGGUGCGAUCAUACCAGCACUAAUGCACCGGAUCCCAUCAGAACUCCGCAGUUAAGCGUGCUUGGCGCGAGAGUAGUACUAGGAUGGGUGACCUCCCGGGAAGUCCUCGUGUUGCACCCCUUUUUAUUUUUUAAUUUUUUUUUGCCUAAAACGAGUCUAAACUUGAAAACCUCAUAACUUUUGAACCGUGAGGAACUACGUCGCCCAUAGCACCAUUUCGGAGAGCCCCAGAAACCAUAAUGGGCGGUGAAUAGGGGGCGCAAUUUUUCGGGCUCAAAUUCAGCCGUUUUGACCCUCAAACGGGCUGCGGAAAGUUAUGGCACGUAAAAAAGAUCGAAAGCGGAUUCUCAAGGUGUUUUUGAUGCUUUCUUAACGCCGUUAACCUCGAUGCACUUUUUCGCUCGAAACAAAACGGCAAGAAAAUCAUGCGCGCCCACGGCCUUACACUUGGAUUGGCCGCGAAAAGGAUAUAUAGAAACGAGAGUGAUGUACUGACGGGUGCGAUCAUACCAGCACUAAUGCACCGGAUCCCAUCAGAACUCCGCAGUUAAGCGUGCUUGGGCGAGAGUAGUACUAGGAUGGGUGACCUCCCGGGAAGUCCUCGUGUUGCACCCCUUUUAUUUUUUAAUUUUUUUUUGCCUAAAACGAGUCUAAACUUGAAAACCUCAUAACUUUUGAACCGUGAGGAACUACGUCGCCCAUAGCACCAUUUCGGAGAGCCCCAGAAACCAUAAUGGGCGGGUGAAUAGGGGGCGCAAUUUUUCGGGCUCAAAUUCAGCCGUUUUGACCCUCAAACGGGCUGCGGAAAGUUAUGGCACGUAAAAAAGAUCGAAAGCGGAUUCUCAAGGUGUUUUUGAUGCUUUCUUAACGCCGUUAACCUCGAUGCACUUUUUCGCUCGAAACAAAACGGCAAGAAAAUCAUGCGCGCCCCACGGCCUUACACUUGGAUUGGCCGCGAAAAGGAUAUAUAGAAACGAGAGUGAUGUACUGACGGGUGCGAUCAUACCAGCACUAAUGCACCGGAUCCCAUCAGAACUCCGCAGUUAAGCGUGCUUGGGCGAGAGUAGUACUAGGAUGGGUGACCUCCCGGGAAGUCCUCGUGUUGCACCCCUUUUUUUUUAAAUUUUUUUUUAGCCUAAAACGAGUCUAAACUUGAAAACCUCAUAACUUUUGAACCGUGAGGAACUACGUCGCCCAUAGCACCAUUUCGGAGAGCCCCAGAAACCAUAAUGGGCGGGGAAUAGGGGGCGCAAUUUUUCGGGCUCAAAUUCAGCCGUUUUGACCCUCAAACGGGCUGCGGAAAGUUAUGUCACGUAAAAAAGAUCGAAAGCGGAUUCUCAAGGUGUUUUUGAUGCUUUCUUAACGCCGUUAACCUCGAUGCACUUUUUCGCUCGAAACAAAACGGCAAGAAAAUCAUGCGCGCCCCACGGCCUUACACUUGGAUUGGCCGCGAAAAG
rnacentral:lncRNA from 1 species